rnacentral:ncRNA from 1 species
AGCGCGUCUGCCCUUUGAGGCGCCAGCGAGUAGGAGGGUCUGGUGGUGUGCGUUGAAGUGCCUGGCGUAAGCCGACAUGGAGCCGCCACUAGCACAGAUCUUGGUGGUAGUAGCAAAUAUUCGAAUGAGAUCUUGGAUGACUGAAGUGGAGGAGGGUUUCGUGUCAACAGCAGUUGAACACGAGUUAGCCAAUCCUAAGCUCUAUGGGAAACCUGAUAUAUAUUAAGCAUUUAACCAAAUACAACAACGUAUACCAGCGUGUCGAUGCAACCGAUACGAUAUAUAUUGAAUGAGCGAAAGGGAAUCCGGUUACAAUUCCGGAGCCUGUUGGGUAUACGUUUGCAUUGGCGUCCCAUACCGGCAACGGUAGCGCCUUUGUAAUCAUGGCAACAUGAAUCCUUUUCUUCGAGAAGCCAACAACGUAUACCAGCGUGUUGAUGCAACCGAUACGAUAUAUAUUGAAUGAGCGAAAGGGAAUCCGGUUACAAUUCCGGAGCCUGUUGGGUAUACGUUUGCAUUGGCGUCCCAUACCGGCAACGGUAGCGCCUUUGUAAUCAUGGCAACAUGAAUCCUUUUCUUCGAAAACGAAUCCGCAGCAGGUCUCCAAGGUUUAGAGUCUCUAGUCGAUAGAUUAAUGUAGGUAAGGGAAGUCGGCAAAUUAGAUCCGUAACUUUGGGAUAAGAAUUGGCUCUGAAGACUGGGAUGACUCGGGCUAUAAUCGGCAAUAUUACCAUGCGUGCCGUACCGUUGACUGAAAACAUUCUUGAUGCUACUAUUUUGGCAUUGUAAUUUUGACCACGUUUAUCUAAGCGGCUUUCAAGUCGACGUGAACGACGAUUUUAGAGUAGCUAGUAUUAAAACAUUUGACACUCUAUUUCCAAAACAAAAUUAUAUCUCCAAGACUUAAAUACAUACAUCUCUGAUUUUUAUAUUCGCCAAAUUUCCUGAAUUUUCUGAUAAAAAUAUAAAAUCAGGAUAGGUACCACUUUGGU